CGAAAGAAACAUUGAAUACUACCUAAAUAUUACAAGGAAUUCUGUCACGCGUGAUUUUCCUAACGUCGAUUAUUUUGCUUCAUCUUAAAACUAACCGACUUAAAUACUAAUUGCCUUGCCUUAAAUACUAUCAAACCAUCAAACACCAACUACAUCAUGCAACACUGCAAAAUUCCUUCCUCAAAGCCUCCAGCGGAGCAACAACUAGUUUUUUAUCUUGUCACUCAAACGGAUAUCAAAGACGGAGGUAAACAGGAACAUAAAGCAGAAAUCUGAGCAACGGAAUCAAUGAAGAGACCGUGGUUAGGUGGAAAGCGUCGAAAUCCCGGCAGCCUCAUAUCAUCCCCGCUAGAAAGGAAAUACACCACAAUGAACGUUUUAAAGUAAACCAUGCGACGCACGCAACCUUUUCUGUCUCCCUCUCUUAUACUCGCCAUCCUGUUUCCUCUGUCAGUAACUCCUCUCUCCGGCCAAAGCCAGACCACCACCAUCCAAAUUCAAACAUGCCGCCCCCUGGCCGCGCCCGCGUCGCUUCGCGUUCUUCUACACACGUAGAGGAUUGCUCGCGCGCAAUACACGCGCGGAUCCGCCGGCUGGUCAACGCUCAGGACGACACUGCGUGCGUGAAAGGGCUCGUGGAUGCACAAAGAGUGUGGCCAGCCGAGUAGCCGGUGUGUUGGUGACUUAAUUCGGUGUGAAUAUAUGCAAGGCCUCUCGGAUCCCGAUCCCUGCCACCAUCGACGAGCACGUUCACGGCACACACGACCGACCCACCGGUAGCGAUGGCCUCGACGAGCUUAGAAUCACCUGAAAGGACACGAGUGAAGAACACCGUAUCUGAAAACGCUCUCCACGAGAAGGCAGCAAGACAGGGAAGCAGUAACUUCUCAAUUCGCCGCCUGGAUCUGGAUUAAAGGAAACCCUGAAAACGGAAAUAAAAUCCUUUCGUAGCCGAGGUCGGUGCUGUUCGAACAAUCACGCACAAUCACGGCCGGCAUUAUAAAACUGUCCCCGGGGGAAUUCUCGAUGCUCGCUAGAGAGAGGGUAGGAAAAGAGUGUGGUCGAUCGAGAGAGGGUUGGUUGGAUAUGGAGAGACUCUGUUGGAGAUUUCGCCAUCUCCAAGGGGUCCAAAAUAUCCCUACGUGAGUUCAACGUCACGCCGGGCCUCGUAUGGCUAUCGCGCGGAACUCGAAGGGGUGCAAUGGCUUCGAGGGAAGUUGGAGAGCAAGGGGAGGACAAACUGGACGGCACGUAUCUUUACGGGUCAUAAAGGUUGGCCCUCGUUACGGAGGAAGCUGUACCACACCCGUGGCCACCAAGGCACCGCACCACGAACCCUCUUUGUCGCCUUUAACCCUCUCUCUUUAUACUUACCCCUCCCCCCCUCUCUUCACCAUCCCUGUUUCAACCAACACUCCUUCUCAAAAGUCCUAGGAUACAGUCCAUUUAUUUUUAAUAAACUUUUGAUAUUUCAUAUAAAUUAUGAACUUUAACGUUUGAAUUAUCAGAAUGGUCAAAGUAAGAAAUUCAUACUUUUUCAUAAAUAUUAGUCUUACAACGAUUUACUUUUUUGGUUUUACAAUGAUAUAUUUUUUUAUAUUUGGUGAUUUUUGUAAAAUAUAUGAAUAAAAGUUAGAGUUUCUUGCUGAAUUAUAAAGUUUUUCCUACUCCUUACGCUGCAAUUUUAUCGAUACUAUAGCUUUAUGUUUUAGUUGUCGGUACUAUUCAUAUUGACUUACAUACAUUUUUUAAUAAACCUCCUAAUAUACUAGUAACAUAAAAAAUAUUUCUGCACCAUUAUAUUCAUUAUAGAAUUUACAGCAUACAGCAUUUAUAUAACUAAUUAAUUAAGUUCCAUAUCAUUCGGUAGUACUUUCAUACGACUACAAAAAUUUAAUAUUAUAUAAAUUAAAUGUAGAAAACUAGUAAAAAAGUGCUUCAUUUGAAAAUGAGGGUAUGCACAAAUAUCUUCCUGUAGCUGUAAGCUUCGUUUGUUUUCAAAGUUAAAUGAACUGUUACAAGAUAAUUCAUCUUUUAAUCUGUUACAGUUUUGGAGCAAAUAUAAAAACUGUCUUACGGCUUUUAAGAGAAGGUGUAUCUUUGUCAUCCUAUGCUUCAACAGAAAUCACCAGGGAAGAUAAUUUACCGAUAGAUUGACCUACGCAAAUCGACAGUAAAGACAACGCGAGGUUCGAAACCAAUAUAAGGUUCGAAACCAAUAUAAGGUUCGAAACCAAUAUAAGCCUGGAAACCAAUAUAAGCUUGGAAACCAAUAUAAGCUUCGAAAAAUGGAGAUGUUGGAUAAGUAUGUUGAUGCGCUUCUGUAAAGAACGAUGCAACUCGAGCACCGUGUUUUAGAAACUGGACGCUCUGUAUUUAUACAGGCGACGCUCGUCUAUUAUCGGCUCGAGCAUCGAUGGCAGCUGGCUUCUACUCAUCCAUUUAUCGCAAAUUUUUUUAGAACGAAAGCAUUCUGUUAGCCAAAGUCUCCGAGUGACUCUUCAAAGAACUAACUUUUAUAUCGUUUCUUAACAAAAUGAUUAAAUUUCGAAAUUUUAUGUAAUACGUUGAUUACAGGUCUGAAUAUGUAUUCAUAUAUUUGCUGAGAGAGUUAAAUGUACUGUAAAGGAAGAUACAAUUCCAAAUUAACACCACAAAUCCUGGACAAGUUGCUAAACUACACCUACGUAUCUUAAAUUACUGUUUCGAUUUUCCAAAUCCAAAUUUCCAAAUUGAUACAAAAAUUCUAUUUUAUAUUACUAAAGGUUUAUGUGCUAAAGGUAAAAAGAGAGUGAAAAAAUAGAAAAAGAAAAUAUAAAUUCAACUCGAUUGUAAGAGGAUCACGAAGGGUUAAGUUUCCCAUAAGCAUGCAAAAUCUAAUAACAGAUACUUAUAUAAUGUGCGAACUUCACUACUAAUAUUUAAUAACCAAACUUUCAUUCUCCCCUUAACGAGACAAGUAGAGUGGGUCUCAUGGCCACACGGUAAUGAAGAUGUCACGCUACGGCUGUCUUUCUUGCGGCAUGGGGCCUAUUGGUCCCGUGGCAAACCACGGGGGGUGCGCGUAAACGAUGUCACGGACGCCAUUGUGCUCUCUGUGCAGAACUGAUCCCCCGUGGAAUCGAAAGAGAAACUCCGACCUUUCACCGAGUCGAGUUUAAAUAGGCCGGAUAUAUAAUUGGGCCCCGGACCAUUCACGAGAUUUCAUCCCGCGGUACCCCCCAUAAUGCCCAUCGAGUGCUCGUACGAUGGAAAAGAGGGAGAGGACAAAGACUCGCGUGACUGCUGCAAUCUCUUGGCACCAGUCUUCGAGGAUUCAUAGAAGAGGUACUAUCACUGUGGAGAAUGCAAAAGUAUUACGUUUUAUCGAAUCAAGAUUACACUUUUUUCGAGAUAAUCGUUACAAUUGUCUUGUAAAAAGAAUCCUACAAAACUGUCGUCAUUAUAAUUUUAAUUAUUCGUACAAUUACAUUAUACGAUUACAUUCACAUAAAUUAAAAUUAUAAUUGUAAUUGUUGCAGAUUUCUUUGCAAUACUCAUUUCGCGCUUGAAUUUUUAUAAAAGAGAUAUUAUGGUAACUAUCGGAUCUUGUAUAACGGAUAUAUGUAAAUGUGAUUUAUGAAAAUUCAUGUUUUUAUGAAUACAAUUGAAGAGUUUGUCACCCGAAUAAAAAUUAAUUUUACCUAUUGAAUGUUAUGUUAUGAUGUGAUCUGUUCAAUUUCGAGUAUUUUGUAUAUUUUUGUAUAUCAUACGUAUCCUCUUUAGUUUUCCAAUCUCUAAAUUUCCUACAAAUGUUCGUGUGAUUUGUCAUAAUUUUCACACCACACAAAUUAUUUUCAUAGAAGUUCAUGGUCACAAAAUCAUUGUGAAACUUUAAACACGUUAGGAAAUAAAGAACAUUUUAGUCAUAUUAUGCAAACGCAAAUUAGCAAAUCUUAUCAAACUGUAUAAUGUAAUGAUGCGCAAUAUUCGUCAACAUAACAAAAUAUAAUCUAAUGCAAUA